CCCAACUUAUAAAGUGCUAUUUUAUUGAUGAUGCUGAGCCUUUGGUUAAGACAGCAUCUGGGGAGAAUACUUUGGGACUCUGUAAAUACCUGCUGCACAGAAAAGUUCCAUCCAUUUUUUUAAAAAAGCACCCAUUGGUGAUUAUUGUUUGAAUUAUUUACUAUUAAAGCUGAAAAGUGACAAUUUUCUUACUAUUUCUUAUACAUUUAUUAGUUGGAAUUUUACAAUGAUUUGCUUUUUAUUUCAUUUAUUUAUAGGACUCUUUAAAAAAAUUUAGUAGGUAGGGCUGGGGAUAUAGCCUAGUGGCAAGAGUGCCUGCCUCGGAUACA